AUGGACGUGCUCAACUCCUCGUCGCCCGACAGCAGCGCCAAGGCCGACAGCAGCGAGAACGGCGACUCCGAGGAGUGGGUCGGCGCGGGCGUCAAGAGGAGCGCCGCCGGGGAGCCGGCGAUGGCCGGGCGGCACGCCCGGAGCCUGUCCGUGGACAGCCUCAUGGGGAGGUUCAACUUCGCCUCCCCCGGCGGCGCGGGGGGCAUGUUCAGCCUGGAGUUCGGCAGCGGCGAGUUCUCCCCGGCCGAGAUGAAGAAGAUCAUGGCCGACGAGAAGCUGGCCGAGAUGGCCCUCGCCGACCCCAAGCGCGUCAAGAGGGUGCUGGCGAACCGGCAGUCGGCGGCGCGGUCCAAGGAGCGCAAGAUGCGGUACAUCGUGGAGCUGGAGCAGAAGGUGCAGAUCCUGCAGACGGAGGCCACCACGCUCGCCGCGCAGAUCAACCUCCUGCAGCGCGACUCGUCGGCGGUGGCGACGCAGAACAACGAGCUGAGGUUCCGGCUGCAGGCCAUGGAGCAGCAGGCGCAGCUGCGCGAUGCUCUGAACGAGGCGCUGACAGGCGAGGUCCAGCGCCUCAAGAUCGCGACCAUCGAGCUCGGCAUCGGCGACUCCUGCUCCUCCAACGGCAUGGCCCAGCAGCACAACCUCAUGUUUCAGCAGCAGCAGCUGCUGCAGCAGGCUACACCCAUACCAUUCUACCAGCUGCAGCACCAACAGCAGCAGCAGCAGCAGCAGCAGAACGGCACAGCCAGCAAGCAUGAAUCAAGAGAGUGA
rnacentral:rRNA from 1 species